rnacentral:rRNA from 1 species
GAACCAAUUCUAGCCCAAAUAUACUACUAGUAAAACUAUUUUCAUACAUUAAAACAAAACAUUCAUACCACUAAAGUAUAGGCGAUAGAAAUUUUAUUAGGCGCUAUAGAGAAAGUACCGCAAGGGAAAGAUGAAAGAAUUAUUAAAAGUGUAAAACAGCAUAGAUUAAUACUACUACCUUUUGCAUCAUGAGCUAACUAGAACUCCCUUUGCAAAAAGAAUUUAAGCAAAGACCCCCGAAACCAAACGAGCUACUUUCAGACAGCUAAAUUGAGCCAACCCGUCUAUGUGGCAAAAUAGUGGGAAGAUCUGAAAGUAGAGGUGAAAAGCCAACCGAGCUUGGUGAUAGCUGGUUGUCCAAACAAGAAUUUUAGUUCAACUGUAAGUCCACCCUAAAAAACAUCAACUUUCAAUGGUUACUUACAAGUUAAUCUAAAGAGGGACAGCUCUUUAGAGCAAAGGAUACAACCUUGUGUAGAGAGUAAAUUUAUUAAAAUAUCAUAGUUGGCCUAAAAGCAGCCAUCAAUUAAGAAAGCGUUCAAGCUCGACAAAAAUCUCGCAUAGCUAAUCCCGCAAAUAAAAAAUCAACUCCUACUCCUCCAUUGGACUAUUCUAUAAAAAUAUAGAAGCAAUAAUGUUAGUAUUAGUAACAAGAAAGAAUUCUCCGUGCACAAGCUUAUAUCAGACCGAAUACUCGCUGAUAGUUAACAACUUGAUAAAGAAAAUUAACAAAUUAAUACCUUUAUCACUACCAUUGUUAACCCAACACAGGAGUGCAAUAAGGAAAGACUAAAAGAAACAGAAGGAACUCGGCAACUAUAAAUCCCGCCUGUUUACCAAAAACAUCACCUCUAGCAUUACAAGUAUUAGAGGCACUGCCUGCCCAGUGACAAAUCAGUUCAACGGCCGCGGUAUUCUGACCGUGCAAAGGUAGCAUAAUCACUUGUUCCUUAAAUAGGGACUAGUAUGAACGGCUAGACGAGGGUUUAACUGUCUCCUGUCUCCAGUCAGUGAAAUUGACCUUCCCGUGAAGAGGCGGGAAUAAAAAAAUAAGACGAGAAGACCCUAUGGAGCUUUAAUUAAUUUACAUACACUAAAACACUUAAUCUUCCUAAGGGUUAUAAAGUACUAGUACUAAGUAAAUAAUUUUGGUUGGGGUGACCUCGGAGAAUAAAAAAACCUCCGAAUGAUUUUAACCUAGACACUACAAGUCAAAGUCAAAAAUCAUCAAUUGACCCAGUACAAACUGAUCAACGAACCAAGUUACCCUAGGGAUAACAGCGCAAUCCUAUUCUAGAGUUCUUAUCGACAAUAGGGUUUACGACCUCGAUGUUGGAUCAGGACUUCCCAAUGGUGCAGCCGCUAUUAAAGGUUCGUUUGUUCAACGAUUAAAGUCCUACGUGAUCUGAGUUCAGACCGGAGUAAUCCAGGUCGGUUUCUAUCUAUUUUUAAUCUUCUCCCAGUACGAAAGGACAAGAGAAGCAAGGCCAACUGCCCCUCAGCGCCUUAACAGUUAAAAGAUGAUUUAGUAUUAAUCUUAUAACUGCUUCAAAACCCUACCCGAGAAAAGGGUUU